AGGGGGGCAUCACCAUGGACGGUGAACAAAAAUCGAAAACUGUCAUGGAGUUGCUCUCUUAA
rnacentral:pre_miRNA from 1 species